GAUGAACGCUGGCGGCGCGCCUAACACAUGCAAGUCGAGCGAACAGACGAGGAUCUCGUUCUUCUAACGGUAGCGGCUGACGGGCGAGUAACACGUGGAUCACCAUCCUAUUAGACUGGGAUUACUUCGGAAAAACGGAGCCAAUACCGGAUAAUAUAUUGAACCGCAGGGUGCAAUAGUUCAUGGCAGCUUUUCUGUUACUUUUAGCUGAUUCCGCGCCGCAUUAGCUAGUUGGUAAGGUAACGGCUUACCAAGGCAACGAUGCGUAGCCGACCUGAGAGGGUGAUCGGCCACACUGGAACUGAGACACGGUCCAGACUCCUACGGGAGGCAGCAGUAGGGAAUCUUCAGCAAUGGGCGAAAGCCUGACGGAGCAACGCCGCGUGAGUGAUGAAGGUCUUCGGAUUGUAAAACUCUUUUAUUAGGGAAGAACAAAUGUGUAAGUAACUAUGCACGUCUUGACGGUACCUAAUGAGAAAGCCACGGCUAACUACGUG
rnacentral:rRNA from 1 species